AACGAACGCUGGCGGCAGGCUUAACACAUGCAAGUCGAGCGAGACCUUCGGGUCUAGCGGCGGACGGGUGAGUAACGCGUGGGAACGUGCCCUUCUCUACGGAAUAGCCCCGGGAAACUGGGAGUAAUACCGUAUACGCCCUUUGGGGGAAAGAUUUAUCGGAGAAGGAUCGGCCCGCGUUGGAUUAGGUAGUUGGUGGGGUAAUGGCCCACCAAGCCGACGAUCCAUAGCUGGUUUGAGAGGAUGAUCAGCCACACUGGGACUGAGACACGGCCCAGACUCCUACGGGAGGCAGCAGUGGGGAAUCUUAGACAAUGGGGGCAACCCUGAUCUAGCCAUGCCGCGUGAUUGAUGAAGGCCUUAGGGUUGUAAAGCUCUUUCAGCUGGGAAGAUAAUGACGGUACCAGCAGAAGAAGCCCCGGCUAACUCCGUG
rnacentral:rRNA from 1 species